rnacentral:rRNA from 1 species
AGAAUCAACGCUGGCGGCGUGCCUAACACAUGCAAGUCGUACGAGAAAGUGGAGCAAUCCAUGAGUACAGUGGCGACCGGGUGAGUAACACGUGACUAACCUACCCUCGAGUGGGGAAUAACUCCGGGAAACCGGAGCUAAUACCGCAUAAUAUCGCGAGAUCAAAGCAGCAAUGCGCUUGAGGAGGGGGUCGCGGCUGAUUAGCUAGUUGGCGGGGUAACGGCCCACCAAGGCGAAGAUCGGUAUCCGGCCUGAGAGGGCGCACGGACACACUGGAACUGAAACACGGUCCAGACUCCUACGGGAGGCAGCAGUGGGGAAUUUUGCGCAAUGGGGGAAACCCUGACGCAGCAACGCCGCGUGGAGGAUGAAGUCCCUUGGGACGUAAACUCCUUUCGACCGGGACGAUAAUGACGGUACCGGUGGAAGAAGCCCGGCUAACUUCGUGCCAGCAGCCGC